rnacentral:lncRNA from 1 species
CAUUGCCCACAUGGUGUGUUGGUUGGUACGGGUGGAGAGUAGCGGAUGGUGGGUCGAGUAGUCUCCCCAAAUGGGCUUCAAUACAUUCAUUGGUAUUUCAUGUGAUAUUGAAAUGGGCUUGCAUACAUCCAUUGACAUUACAUGUGAUAUUGAAAUAGGCCUAAGGGCCAUACCGUUUACAAUAAAGGCUUCGGGCCAAUGAUAUGAUUUAUGAAAAGGCUUCGGCCCAGUGAUAUGAUUUAUGAAAAGGC